UCAAAUUCCUGGAGAAAGUGAGCCACCUCAAUUAUGUCGACAGAGAUUCACAAUAGCCACUUCCAUUGUUUCAGUGAGUAAUCACAAGUUCCUUCAGUGCUUGUACACUCUAUAAUACUGAGAAGAACACCAACGAAACAUAGAAAUGUAGCAAAUUUACUGCGCAGAAGGACACGUUUAGUCGAUUGACUCUGUGUUCGUCAUGGCAUGGAGACAUUCCCUACUAUCAACCUUUAACUUGGGCGCAGGUGCUCUACAAAGCGGUUUCCAAGCCUCCUCUUGGUCUCACCAAUGCAGACGAGGCCACAUCGGGAGCAGUAGACCACAUCAGUGGAUAUGCAGAAAAAUUGUCUUCUCCAGCUGUCUGUUGAUAAAGGAGGUAGAAUUACAUUCAAAGUUUGAAAAAAGAAUGAUGUCUAAACCCACAAGAACAGAAAGUACCACAAGUCCAACCAAGCAACCAGUAAACUAAAGACUGAUCAUCACUGUGCAGAUAACA